GCUCAGUGCUUCCACGAGUGCGGUACAGAAUCACAUAGACAAAUGCUGGCCGUUUCUGCUCUUCUCCCUCCUCCCCAUGCAGGGCACAGUGUGGGGGCUGCGGGGGCCGGUGGGGCACCUCCGCGGGGGCAUCUGAGCUUGCACAGCCGGGCGCAGCGUCUUAUCUGUGUCCCCAGGCUCCCUGCCUGCUGGCCGGUGGCCCUGGGCUGCCUGAUACGCCAAUCUCCCUGGAGACAGCCGGUGGCAUUGCCAGGAGGCUUGGGUGGCCUCAUCCCCUCCGCCCCCCAGACAAGAGCGAUUUCCCUCCCCCGGGGGGUCGAGAGCCCGGCACUUCCCUCCUGUGUCUGUGGGGGAUGGGAGGAAACGGUGACCCGUCAGGGGUGGGGGCGCAGAGGGCCUGACGCCGCCCUGGGAUGCGGGUCCCUUGUCCUCACCCUCCUCUGCUCUCUCAGGGUCUUCACUGUUGGACACAUGGGACCUGAAUACGUGCUCCUUGAAUGAGCGGAUGAAAGAAAAGAACAAAUUCAGAAGAUUCUUGAAUGUCUGAGGAAAGAGAGAGGAGAUUCAAGGAAUCCGGGCAAGAGAGAGUCAGAGACUCCACGUCCUCCUGGUGGUCAAGCUUCCCUGCCCUCCCCUCCAUCGGGGCCCAGGGCCUCCCUGAAACAGGGGCGAGAGCACACUGGGCCUUGAGACCAUUCUGGGCCUGAGUCCUGACUUCAGCCUUAAUGAACCAGAUGACCUCAAGCAACUCACUUACCUCAGUUUACCUGUCUAUGAAAUAGAGAUUAAAAAUAAUCAUACUCCUCCAACUGCUGUAGUGAAUAGAUGAGUC
rnacentral:lncRNA from 1 species